AGUGAACGCUGGCGGUAGGCCUAACACAUGCAAGUCGAACGGCAGCACAGUAAGAGCUUGCUCUUACGGGUGGCGAGUGGCGGACGGGUGAGGAAUACAUCGGAAUCUACUUUUUCGUGGGGGAUAACGUAGGGAAACUUACGCUAAUACCGCGUACGACCUACGGGUGAAAGCAGGGGAUCUUCGGACCUUGCGCGAUUGAAUGAGCCGACGUCGGAUUAGCUAGUUGGCGGGGUAAAGGCCCACCAAGGCGACGAUCCGUAGCUGGUCUGAGAGGAUGAUCAGCCACACUGGAACUGAGACACGGUCCAGACUCCUACGGGAGGCAGCAGUGGGGAAUAUUGGACAAUGGGCGCAAGCCUGAUCCAGCCAUACCGCGUGGGUGAAGAAGGCCUUCGGGUUGUAAAGCCCUUUUGUUGGGAAAGAAAAGCAGCAGGUUAAUACCCCGCUGUUCUGACGGUACCCAAAGAAUAAGCACCGGCUAACUUCGUG
rnacentral:rRNA from 1 species